ACAAAAUCAAACCAUCUCAUUUUGGUCAGUGGAAGGCGACUAUGGGAAUUCGUGACGCAAAAGGGAGUCUAAGAGCUGUCACUUAGAAGGGAAAAAGGAUGGGUGGAAUUAGAAGCUCAGCAAAUUCUGAAUCUUAUCUGGAAGCUUGCUGACCCAGAACUAAAAUGUGACCUGGAGAACAGAUUGUGCUUGAUUUCAGUGACUAAUCAAAGUUGUCAGCUAUACAGAUGUGAAGGCCUCACAGAGAGAGAAGUGAUCUUUCCUUCCUUGGACAUUAUCAUUCUCACGGCAAUCCUCUUUCGGAGCAGUGGGGUGGCACCUUCUACUCACUCUCCUUGAAGGACUGUUCAGGUAGUAUACAAAGCAGACAACCACUCCUCUUUAUGGUUGGUUCUUGAUGCUUCGAAAGCACACAUCCGUAUUUGAAAUAAAUGCAACCCAGGGCUUCAUUUUGUCACCCACAUGGGCUUCUGCAUCGUGACCACUUCCAACACCAGCUAUGCUUCCUUUUCAAGCCUCUCCUCUCCUGCACGUGUCUUCCUAAAAUGACCUUGCUCUAUGCUAACCAGGCAUGUUCUCCAGACACACGAACAAAAAGACUAGGAGUGGAAGACAUUCUCAGUUUUUCAGGCAGUAUAAAUAAGACAUAAUCAACAAGUGAAAUUCCCAGCUCUGUUUGUGUACAUCUGCACCAUGUGACCUGGGUUUUCUUCUUGCAGCUGACUGGAGAACUAAGUGCUUGCUGUGCAACACAGAUUGCAUAUUUGGAAAACAAGCCCAUAUCUACAUGACUGUAUGGAUUGAGAACAGGUAAGAUAUUAUAUCUCAUCAGAAUGUGUGGCUGUCAAAACUACUGUGCAUGCUGAUAAAUUUCAAGGUUUUAAAAGCACACUGUAAACAGCAGCUAGUAAUAACAAAAGUAGAAAUGGUUGUGGGAGGGAAUUCUACAUGUAAAGAAAAAAAAAGUGCAAUCUUCAACUGAGCAGAAAAUUAGUUUUGUCCUCAUGUUAUUCUAGCAGAGUGGCAAAACAGCCUUCAUUCAUUUUGUCUUUUAAUAUGCAAAUGAUAAACAGAAGCCUAUAUUUGUGGACAUAAAAUCAUUUUAUACUGCACAAAAGAUUGCACAUUAACCCCAUUAGCAGUGACUGUACAUCCACUAUUGUUCUGCUCAACACUUCAGAAGACAUAAAUUCUUAUCUAUCCACUGUGACUUCUAAAUUUUGAGUUUUUCAGGGACAAAAUUUCUUUUGUCAAGACAGACAUUUCUGGAGCUAACCUAUCCUUCUGUGGAGAUAAACAUUAAACAACAAAAAUCUUCUGUGAUCCAAUUUUCUGAAUCUUUAAAGGAAAGAGUUACCUUUUCCUUCUUGGAUGAGAAUCAGGAUAUGCCUUAAAACCAGGUGAAUGAAGAAAUCUGAACACAUUCCACAGUGCUUUCAAGGAAAGGGACAAAUGUCUCGCUGUUCAACCAUCUUUGCUUCCUUUCAGAAAACAAAGGAUAUCAGAGACUCUGCUUAAAUGUUGGGUACUGCAGGCUUCAGCCAAGAGGUGGCGUUAAGAUGCAAUGCAAUGUUGUCUUAGCAAUAAAAUAUUACCUGUUUUAACAGUAGUAUGCCUGAUGCUUAGAGGUACACAAACCAGUUAAGGAAAUAGAAAAUACACUGUAGGUGAGCAAAGGAAUUCGACAGGAAUUCAAUUGGUCUGAGUUGGGACUGAAAAACUAGAGUAACUUAUGCCUUAAGUAACCACUUGUAAGGUAUACCAAAGAUUCUUACACUUUGUAAAUUAGAAUGCAGCCGUGCAAAUGUGAACCAGCAGCUGGAUACAGCUGCUAUUUUAGAUGUUAGGUAAGAUACUUAGACGCUUGAGGGAUUAGGACUAGAUGAUCUUUAAGGUUCCUUCCAACCCAAGCCAUCCUAUGAUUCUUAUAUUAUUCUUAACCGUACUUGGAAUGAUGAAUUUUUUUAGGCAUGCCUCCUCAUCAUAAAAAAAGACAAGUAUUUACAAACCAAACAAAUGAAGCCAGACCUAAUUUGAAAACAAAACUAUACUCCCAUUUAACACUGGAAUGCAAACUCUUUGAUGCAGAUGAGUCAACAGCAGCUGUAUUAACAAAUGAAGGUUCAGUCCAUUGAAACACUACUAUUCCAAAUAAUCUUACAAAAAAAGGGGUUAUAGAUGAAACUGGUGAUACCAAGGUGUUGAAUUCCUCAUAGAAAUACGGUACUGGUAUGCAUAAUGUUAGCAGGUCUGCAAGCCAUCACAUCCUUUUUUUUUUUUUUUUUUGUUCCCCUAGUCAUUUAUACUGUUUUCUGUCUGUUUCCUGUUAUUAUCUCACCCAACAGUGAGCUUUCAAAACCUAGAGUAGAUGAAAUAUAAUCAAAUCAGUUGAGUUACACUAUAUUAAACUAACUGAGGGUUUGACUCCUUGUCCUCAUCUGAGUGAAAGUGCCUCAGAAGUGCUAUUGUUGAUUCAGUAUUAAACCUGGGUCUGAAUUUUGUGGUUGUAGACCAUGCUUACUUUGGUAUAGAAAUAAGAAUUAGUGCAGAUAAAGUUAUUAACAUUCUUUUUAGUUUAUAAGUAAAAAAAAGCUGUGUACAUCUUAUUUCAACAUCAGUUGUUAGUCAGAAAAUACUUCAGGAAUGACUAGCAUGGCUGCUAUCAGUCAUCAGAAACCUUCAAGUGAUGGUAUAACAAGGAGAUUCAGGUUAUUCCUAGACUGAAGGGUAUCAGUUCUUGAUCAUCUGUCUAUCGGUAGAAGUUAUUUGAUUACAUGAUUACAUAGGCAUUUUUGUACACUAUGUUUUCUGUUAUUUGGUCACUCGAUUUUUCUAUGCAAAUGGUGAAAUCAAGUGAAUUUCAAGGAACAAAGCCAUGUCACUGUACUGCUGCAUACUCUUCAGUAAGCCAUGUGUCUGUAUGGGAGAUGGUAUGAAUACUGAUGAAAGUGUAUGUCUCAUGUGCUAUACCUAGAGAUAACUACAAUAUAUGGACAAAAACUAUUUUUGACUGUGAAGGAAGAAGUAAUCACUCAGAAGCACAGUACUCCAGUUGCAUUUGAAGGACACUGACUCCAUCUUCAUCCAAAACACUUUAGUGAUUACUGCUACAUGUCACAGCAAAUCAGAGCUUGUACAAGUGCUCCAAACAAUGUUUCAGACAUGCAGGACUAGCUGCUGAUUGGAGUGAGGCCAAAUAGACUGCAUUCAAAAAGCAGCUCUACUUUAAAAAAAAAAAAAGUGAAUAUUUAUAAGGGCACUGGAGAAAGCCUCUAAGCAACCCUGAUCAGAUUUUGCAGAGGCAUGAAACCCUGUCAUUUGCUACAAGGAUAUGGAGCAAGUGACAACUCAGCACUUCAGCACAAGGUAUGUAUAGACCUUGAUCUCCUUGCAGAAUCACAGUUUUUAGUAUCUAUGAAAGUUCAACUCUGCAAAGAGAACCUGGCUGGAACGAUGAAGCAUUAUAAUAAGGCAAAAGUUUUUUUUUAAUAUUAGAGGUUCCUGCUCUCGUAUGCUCUAAAGCUAACUUUUGAAACUAUAAUUUCAGAUGGUAAAACAUAAGAAAUAGAAAUUUUAGCCACUGGAAAUUUUGACUGGCAUCUGUGCUGAGAAGGCCUUUCCAGCUUAACUGAACUGUGCUAGAGACAUGUAAGACUGACCUGCGAAAAAAAACAACCAAAAACUAAAAAACAAACCCAACUGAAAUCUGUUUUGGA